rnacentral:rRNA from 1 species
AUUGAACGCUGGCGGCAGGCCUAACACAUGCAAGUCGAGCGGUAGAGCGAAGCUUGCUUCUCUUGAGAGCUGCGGACGGGUGAGUAAUGCCUAGGAAUCUGACUGGUAGUGGGGGAUAACGUUCGGUAACGGACGCUAAUACCGCAUACGUCCUACGGGUGAAAGCAGGGGACCUUCGGGCCUUGCGCUAUCAGAUGAGCCUAGGUCGGAUUAGCUAGUUGGUGUGGUAAUGGCUCACCAAGGCGACGAUCCGUAACUGGUCUGAGAGGAUGAUCAGUCACACUGGAACUGAGACACGGUCCAGACUCCUACGGGAGGCAGCAGUGGGGAAUAUUGGACAAUGGGCGAAAGCCUGAUCCAGCCAUGCCGCGUGUGUGAAGAAGGUCUUCGGAUUGUAAAGCACUUUAAGUUGGGAGGAAGAGCAGUAAAUUAAUACAUGGCCGUUUUGACGUUACCGACAGAAAAAGCACCGGCUAACUCUGUG